rnacentral:rRNA from 1 species
AGCAGCCGCGGUAAUUCCAGCUCCAAUAGCGUAUAUUAAAGUUGUUGCAGUUAAAAAGCUCGUAGUUGAAUUUCGGGGUUCAUCCGUUGGUCGGGCUUUUUUGGUCUGUACUGGCGUGAUGGAUUCCUACCUUCUGAAUAACCAGCAUGUCAUUAAUUUGGUGCGCUGGGGAAGCAGGACUGUUACCUUGAAAAAAUUAGAGUGCUUAAAGCAGGCUAUCGCCUGAAUACAUUAGCAUGGAAUAAUGAAAUAGGACGGCAUGGUUCUAUUUUGUUGGUUUCUAGGAUCACCGUAAUGAUUAAUAGGGAUAGUUGGGGGCAUUAGUAUUCAAUUGUCAGAGGUGAAAUUCUUGGAUUUAUUGAAGACUAACUUCUGCGAAAGCAUUUGCCAAGGAUGUUUUCAUUAAUCAAGAACGAAAGUUAGGGGAUCGAAGACGAUCAGAUACCGUCG